rnacentral:rRNA from 1 species
UGGGGAAAUCUUGGACAUGGGGGCAACCCUGAUCCAGCGAUGCCGCGUGAGUGAAGAAGGCCUUCGGGUCGUAAAGCUCCUUAGGUUGGGAGGAAGGCUAGUAGUUUAAGAGAUAACUAGUUUGACUGUACCGACAGAAUAAGCACCGGCAAACUCUGUGC